GUACGCCUGCGUGAUGGCUAUCAAUCAACGAACUUAUGACUUCACUUUUCAUAAAGAAUUUCAUAGAUGGAGAUUGACUCCCUCCAUAUAGUUUUAGCUUUUGUGCAGUCUCUAAGCACAUGGAGAACAUUUUGCGUUUCGAAAGGACAAAGAGGGCAGAAGUUUUCAGCUAGAAUGUAUAUGUGGUGCGGAUGACUCCUGGUUGGAAGACGAUUAUGGGCACAGAGCCUUAGGAAGUAUUUGAGUUUGUUGAGAGUGGGGGUGGCCAGCGAAGGUCUUGACAGUUUGGAAAUGAAAGGUUUGGUUCAUCUUCAAUGGUUGUGGCUACCAGUGCAUAUGCAGAUUUUGUGAUGAAUCUUUCUAAAGGGGUAAGUUUCAAAAUGAGUUUAUCAGCUGAUCUACGACCACCCUCAUCUAUUACGGUACGAAAAAAUAAAUGGCACCAGAGGAAAAAAAGUCCAUAGAAUGGAAUGUCAGUUAGGGAACAGUAGUCAGACGCAGACCAGCGCAGGUGGGCGCCACAGCUGUCUUCCUCCCUGUGAUAUCACACAAGAGGUUUGGAACCUUUAGGUUUUAAUCCUUCAAAUCAAACAGUUUU
rnacentral:lncRNA from 1 species